UAGGUGCCCAAGCUGUUUUUUAGUUUUUUGGUGCAACAAGAAGCAUUGUCCUGAACACUAUGUUUUCCACUCGACCCUGCGUACAAAAAGUACAGCCCUCCUCAUAGAGUGGGAAGUAAGCCCGCGAGGAAGCCAGGCAGCUGGUGUCGAGCAGUUCUGUCCUCCAAAAUAAGACACAGUGCCUGACUUCAAACAAUCUACUGGAGAACAGAUCUUACACAGACCCAGCGUCACACUGUGUGUGGAAUGCUUUCUGAACAGCCAUCCUGGAAUGUGAGGAUGUAGAAGUAUGGAUGAAGAACAUGAAUACCACGUUCUGGAGUUGGAGGCAUAACAGGGGCGCCUGGGUGGCUCAGUCGGUUAAGCGUCCGAC